UACAUGGGGUGCAAACGUUGCUCGGAAUUAUUGGGCGUAAAGCGCACGUAGGCGGUCCAGUAAGUCGGUUGUGAAAGCCCUCGGCUUAACCGAGGAAGUGCAGUCGAAACUGCUGGACUUGAGUACUGAAGAGGGUCGCGGAAUUCCCGGUGUAGAGGUGAAAUUCGUAGAUAUCGGGAGGAACACCAGUGGCGAAGGCGGCGACCUGGGCAGAUACUGACGCUGAGGUGCGAAAGCGUGGGGAGCAAACAGG
rnacentral:rRNA from 1 species